ACUCAAAGGAAUAGACGGGGAGGCGCACAACCGGUGGAGCGUGUGGUUCAAUUCGAGACGAAGCGAAACACCUCACCAGGGCUUGACAUGUUACCGUACAGCCUUGCUGAAAGGCGAGGCAAUCCGCAAGGAUGGUAAUACAGGUGUUGCAUGGCUGUCGUCAGCUCUAGGCGUGAGCUGUAGGCUUAAGUGCCAUAUAGAGCGCAACUCUUGUCUAAUGUUAAAUUAAUCAUUAGAGACAGGUCCGAUUUACUUCGGACAGGAAGGUAGGAAAGACGUCAAGUCAGCACGACCCUUAUGCCCUGGGCCACACACACCCUACAAUGGCGAAUAACAACGAGUCGCAAGCCGGUGACGGCAAGCUAAUCUCUAAAAUUUCGCCUCAGUUCAGAUUGGAGUCUGAAACCCGACUCCAUGAAGACGGAAUCGGUAGUAAUCGCGGAUCAGCAGGCCGCGGUGAAUACGUUCUCGCCUCUUGUACACACCGCCCGU
rnacentral:rRNA from 1 species